AGAGUUUGAUCCUGGCUCAGAUUGAACGCUGGCGGCAUGCUUUACACAUGCAAGUCGGACGGCAGCACAGAGAAGCUUGCUUCUUGGGUGGCGAGUGGCGAACGGGUGAGUAAUAUAUCGGAACGUACCGAGUAAUGGGGGAUAACUAAUCGAAAGAUUAGCUAAUACCGCAUAUUCUCUGAGGAGGAAAGCAGGGGACCUUCGGGCCUUGCGUUAUUCGAGCGGCCGAUAUCUGAUUAGCUAGUUGGUGGGGUAAAGGCCUACCAAGGCGACGAUCAGUAGCGGGUUUGAGAGGAUGAUCCGCCACACUGGGACUGAGACACGGCCCAGACUCUUACGGGAGGCAGCAGUGGGGAAUUUUGGACAAUGGGCGCAAGCCUGAUCCAGCCAUGCCGCGUGUAUGAAGAAGGCCUUCGGGUUGUAAAGGACUUUUGUCAGGGAAGAAAAGGCUGUUGCUAAUAUCGACAGCUGAUGACGGUACCUGAAGAAUAAGCACCGGCUAACUACGUGCCAGCAGCCGCGGUAAUACGUAGGGUGCGAGCGUUAAUCGGAAUUACUGGGCGUAAAGCGAGCGCAGACGGUUACUUAAGCAGGAUGUGAAAUCCCCGGGCUCAACCUGGGAACUGCGUUCUGAACUGGGUGACUAGAGUGUGUCAGAGGGAGGUAGAAUUCCACGUGUAGCAGUGAAAUGCGUAGAGAUGUGGAGGAAUACCGAUGGCGAAGGCAGCCUCCUGGGAUAACACUGACGUUCAUGCUCGAAAGCGUGGGUAGCAAACAAGAUUAGAUACCCUGGUAGUCCACGCCCUAAA
rnacentral:rRNA from 1 species